rnacentral:rRNA from 1 species
GAUGAACGCUAGCGACAGGCCCUAACACAUGCAAGUCGAGGGGCAGCACGAGGUAGCAAUACUAGGGUGGGCGACCGGCGGACGGGUGAGUAACACGUAUGCAACCUGCCCGUAAGUCGGGGGAUAACCCGGAGAAAUUCGGACUAACACUCCAUGUAUCUGUAUUAUUGCAUGAUAAAACAGAAAAACGCAAGGAUUACGGAUGGGCAUGCGGAUGAUUAGCUGGUUGGCGGGGUAACGGCCCACCAAGGCGACGAUCAUUAGGGGUUCUGAGAGGAAGGUCCCCCACAUUGGAACUGAGAAACGGUCCAAACUCCUACGGGAGGCAGCAGUGAGGAAUAUUGGUCAAUGGGCGAGAGCCUGAACCAGCCAAGUCGCGUGAAGGAAGAAGGUCUUAUGGAUUGUAAACUUCUUUAGCAGGGGAAUAAAGGUUAUUACGAGCUAAUAAUUUGCAGGUACUCUGCGAAAAAGGAUCGGCUAACUCCGUG